UAUGACCACAUCAUGCUGAAACACUGGUUCCCAUAUGAUUACUGAAGUUAAGCAAUGUCGAGCCUGGUCAGUACCUAGAUGGGUGUCCACUUGAGAAUACUAGGUGCUGUCAG